rnacentral:rRNA from 1 species
UACGGAGGAUGCAAGCGUUAUCCGGAAUGAUUGGGCGUAAAGCGUCCGCAGGUGGCUAUGUAAGUCUGCUGUUAAAGAGUGAGGCUCAACCUCAUAAAAGCAGUGGAAACUACAUGGCUAGAGUGCGUUCGGGGCAGAGGGAAUUCCUGGUGUAGCGGUGAAAUGCGUAGAUAUCAGGAAGAACACCGGUGGCGAAAGCGCUCUGCUAGGCCGCAACUGACACUGAGGGACGAAAGCGUGGGGAGCAAACAGG